UUUAGUGAGAGUUUGAUCCUGGCUCAGGACGAACGCUGGCGGCGUGCCUAACACAUGCAAGUCGAGCGAGAGGAGUUCUUCGGAACAAAUCUAGCGGCGGACGGGUGAGUAACACGUGGGCAACCUACCUUAUAGAGGGGAAUAGCCUUCCGAAAGGAAGAUUAAUACCGCAUAACAUUGCAGUUUCGCAUGAAGCAGCAAUUAAAGGAGAAAUCCGCUAUAAGAUGGGCCCGCGGCGCAUUAGCUAGUUGGUGAGGUAAAGGCUCACCAAGGCGACGAUGCGUAGCCGACCUGAGAGGGUGAUCG
rnacentral:rRNA from 1 species